CCGCCAUGAAGCGAAUAGGGAACUUGUUGGUUAUUCAUGUUUCUUGAGUCCAAAAUGCUCUUAUACGCUUCAAAACCCUACUUGAGUUUUUGCCCUAGAAUAUACUUAAAUUUUUCCUUGAUUUGCAUUCUAAAUAUGGCUGUGUCUGUUGGGUUUUGAAAAAAUUUAACUUGGAGAGGUAUAUGACUCAUAGCCGAGUCUAAAUUAUGAAUUCUGUUCACUUGGUUAUUCUUAGGGCUUGUCUGAUCAAAGGGGCAAUCCAGGAGGAAACUUUUGACGCUAUUUUUGCUUG
rnacentral:lncRNA from 1 species